rnacentral:rRNA from 1 species
CAGCAGCCGCGGGAAUACGUAGGGUGCGAGCGUUAAUCGGAAUUACUGGGCGUAAAGCGUGCGCAGGCGGUUCGUUAAGACAGAUGUGAAAUCCCCGGGCUUAACCUGGGAACUGCAUUUGUGACUGGCGAGCUAGAGUAUGGCAGAGGGGGGUAGAAUUCCACGUGUAGCAGUGAAAUGCGUAGAGAUGUGGAGGAAUACCGAUGGCGAAGGCAGCCCCCUGGGCCAAUACUGACGCUCAUGCACGAAAGCGUGGGGAGCAAACAGGAUUAGAUACCCGCGUAGUCCCUGUCUCUUAUAC